rnacentral:rRNA from 1 species
UACGUAGGGUGCAAGCGUUGUCCGGAAUUAUUGGGCGUAAAGAGCUCGUAGGUGGCCUGUCGCGUCGGCUGUGAAAACUCGGGGCUCAACUCCGAGCUUGCAGUCGAUACGGGCAGGCUAGAGUUCGGCAGGGGAGACUGGAAUUCCUGGUGUAGCGGUGAAAUGCGCAGAUAUCAGGAGGAACACCGGUGGCGAAGGCGGGUCUCUGGGCCGAUACUGACACUGAGGAGCGAAAGCGUGGGGAGCGUACAGG